GCAGUGGUGGUUCACGGUAGGAGGCAAGAGGCUUACAAGCAGGAGAUCUGGGUUCGAUUCCCAGCCAUUGCA
rnacentral:tRNA from 1 species